rnacentral:rRNA from 1 species
AUACGGAGGAUGCAAGCGUUAUCCGGAUUUAUUGGGUUUAAAGGGUGCGCAGGCGGAAAAUUAAGUCAGUGGUGAAAUCCUACAGCUUAACUGUAGAACUGCCAUUGAUACUGAUUUUCUUGAGUGCAGUUGAGGUAGGCGGAAUGUGUAAUGUAGCGGUGAAAUGCUUAGAUAUUACACAGAACACCGAUUGCGUAGGCAGCUUACUAAACUGUUACUGACGCUCAGGCACGAAAGCGUGGGGAGCGAUCAGGAUUAGAAACCCCAGUAGUCC